rnacentral:rRNA from 1 species
CCUACGGGAGGCAGCAGUAAGGAAUAUUGGACAAUGCUCGCAAGAGUGAUCCAGCCAUGCCGCGUGCAGGAAGAAUGCCCUAUGGAUAGUAAACUGCUUUUGAACUAGAGAAAACCCCAGUACGUGUACUGGGCUGAUAGUAUAGUUAGAAUAAGCAUCGGCUAACUUCGUGCCAGCAGCCGCGGUAAGACGAAGGAUGCAAGCGUUAUCCGGAUUCAUUGGGUUUAAAGGGAGCGUAGGUGGACUGAUAAGUCAGUGGUGAAAUCUCCGAGCUUAACUCGGAAAUUGCCAUUGAUACUGUUGGUCUUGAGUACAGUUGCUGUGGGCGGAAUAUGACAUGUAGUGGUGAAAUACAUAGAGAUGUCAUAGAACACCGAUUGCGAAGGCAGCUCACAAAGCUGUAACUGACACUGAGGCUCGAAAGUGCGGGGAUCAAACAGGAUUAGAUACCCUGGUAGUCCGCACCGUAAACGAUGAUUACUCGCUGCUAGGGGGCAACCUUUAGUGGCUUAGCGAAAGCGANAAGAAUCCACCUGGGGAGUACGUCGGCGAACGGUGAAAGUCAAAUGAAAUUGACGGNGNGAGAGNGCGAGACGACACGAGGGAGGAGG